GACGAACGCUGGCGGCGUGCUUAACACAUGCAAGUCGAACGGAAAGGCCCUGCUUUUGUGGGGUUCUCGAGUGGCGAACGGGUGAGUAACACGUGAGUAACCUGCCCUUGACUUUGGGAUAACUUCAGGAAACUGGGGCUAAUACCGGAUAGGAGCUCCUGCUGCAUGGUGGGGGUUGGAAAGUUUCGGCGGUUGGGGAUGGACUCGCGGCUUAUCAGCUUGUUGGUGGGGUAGUGGCUUACCAAGGCUUUGACGGGUAGCCGGCCUGAGAGGGUGACCGGCCACAAUGGGACUGAGGUACGGCCCAGACUCCUACGGGAGGCAGCAGUGGGGAAUAUUGCACAGUGGGCGGAAGCCUGAUGCAGCAACGCCGCGUGCGGGAUGACGGCCUUCGGGUUGUAAACCGCUUUCGCCUGUGACGAAGCGUGAGUGACGGUAAUGGGUAAAGAAGCACCGGCUAACUACGUG
rnacentral:rRNA from 1 species